rnacentral:lncRNA from 1 species
AAUUUUCAAAAUUUUCUUAAAACAAACAAAAGGAAUACAGUAAAAAAGUAAAUUUUUUUUUGAAGGAAUUCGUCUUCCCCAAAUUUCUUCCAUCGCCUACUCUUGUCGCGGUGACACCGUCCAUAGGAGAGGGUAAUUCCUCUUCGACUUCAAGACUAUCUCCUUCUCCAUCACCAAUUUCUCUUUGCCGCCGCAAAGUUCUUGAAGAACCCCAGCCCUCCGGCAUUCGUCGAUAAUGGAGGAUCUUCAGCCCUUGCGUGCUUCAACCACUGUUUGCUGGCGAGAACGACGACUGUGGGUAAGUUCUUACGGCAAGAUCUAAGGGUGAGGGCUGGUCCAAGGUAGGUUCGACGGGGGCAGACGUUUUCCGGCGAAAUCUUCCGGCGAGUUCUAAAGGUGGGGGUUUGGUUCGAAGUAGAUUCGAUAGGGGAAAGUGUUUUCCGGACAAAUUGAACGGAAACACUUUGAUUCCGACGAGUUGUGAGGCAUUAAUACUGAAAAAUAUUAAGAAUCAAAGAGGAUAAAUGUCCUGUUCUUAGAAAUUUAAAUGAA